CCCCCCCCCCCCCACCCAAUGCAGCUGUCCCUUACCCUGAAUACUCUGCAGCUGCAUUCCUGGACCCUUAUCUAGGCACUACAGCAAGGUCACCAGACUUGCUUACAGCCCUACGGGCAGCAUGGGGGAGGUCACGAGAAACGUGGAUAAACCUAAGUUACACCCUCUUGUAAAUUCCUAUAUUGUAACCUGGUCACGAGAUGAUAUGUGGUAAGGUUAACCAACAAACAACCCCAGGGUCUCUCUCCCCCAUAUAAAACCCUCAUUUUGUAAGCUCAGGGCUGCCUCCUUUGACUGUGGUGAAGCAGCCUGGCAGGACGCCAGCUUCCGAAUGAAGCGGAGUUUUUGUCUACCAGACCCACAAGCAGCAUGGUGCGGGUAGAAUCCUGUUUUAAAGAAGCCCAGAACAAUAAUUCCCGCAAUCAUAGAGAAAAUAAGCCAGUGCCCGAAAGCAACAAAUAAAAAUAAUGUGUGAAGAAAAAGAAAAGGACUUCUUCCUAGCGGCGGCAGAUGCCCCCAGACUUUAUGACUUCCUCUCCAUCCCGACAGGGAAAGCAGGACUGAGUUUGUCGGAAGGUGAGCGGGGCUUGGCCAGAGACGGUGUGCGCUGAGGCAGCGGCCCUGGACAAGAGUGGCGUUUGGAUACUUGACGGUGAAAGGGGAAGAAGCCAGUCACCAGCUCCAAAGUCCAGGAACUACACCUGGCAAAGGUCAAAGCCUGCGAGGUUUUGCUUUUGCAGCAUGGCUAAAACACUAUGGAAUACAGAUGGAAAUUUUACUCUUGAUUUGGCAUUCAUUUAACAAGCUGGUAUAGCAAAGGAUUCUGUUACUGAAAAAGGCAAAUCACUCAGGAUGUAUAGAGUAAGAAAGCUGAAUUUCAUGCAUGUAAAAUUGUUUUCAUUCAAUUUCUCAAAUUACAUGAAUCCCUGGAAGGUCAAUAAUAAUGCAAAAUUAGAUUUUUUUCCUUAAUUAAAUUAUGUUUUUAAUAGGUUAUUACAUGACCAUGGUAAAAAAAUUAAAAGUACAAAAUGUGUGCAAUAAAAAAUUAUCUCCAUUUCACCCUGCCACCCAGUUGCUUUCCCCAAAGGCAAUUACGUUACCAGUUUCUUAUGUAUUUUUCCAGGCACUCAAAUUUUGUCAACAAGAAUAUAGGUAAUGUAGUUAUUUUAAAUUUUUAACAGAAAAUGUAACAUAUAACCUUUUCGAAUCCCCCCCCGUGUGUGUGUGUGUGUGUGUGUGUGUGUGUGUGUGUGUGUGUGUGUCUGUGUAUCAACACACAGUACUCAUAGAGCUACCGGUUUUUACUGACCAUAUGGUAUUCCACUUUAUAAACAUACUAAUUUAUUUUGUCUAUCUCAGUUCAUAGUGUAGGGGCCAAGGGAAAACUUCCCCUCUACCCUCUGAAGUUUCACUGAAAAAUCAAGUCACAAAAGGCAGAUUAACAGGACAAAUGGCAUACAAAUUUAUCAGCGGGCAUGGGGGAGAAUCACAGAGUGAUUGGCCAAUAUCCCAAUGAGGUACAGAGGGUUGUACCUCCUUAUUAGAGGAAAGGCAGAUGGGUGAUGUAUGGGUGAUUUGGGGGGUUAGAAAAUGAUUUUUAGGGGAAUUCAAUGUGUUUGAAGAACAUACAGUGGCCUGAGACAAAGUAUGUUAAGCCUGCAGAGCUCUCCGUGUGUGUUGACAGACUUCAGUCUUUCUUUCUGCAAUAUGAGUUCAGUUUGUGGAAAGUCAGGGAAGAGACCAGAGGUAACUGUUUUCUUCUUUGGCAAGUCGAGACUUUAGGCAGAUAAGGGAACUUCAGAGAAUACCUUCAUUCUGUGCUUUGGGAAAGAGAGGAUUGGUGAAGGAAGGUCAAAGAAAACUUAAGCCUUCUUCAUUUCAGCAUGUCAAAGUGUCACAUUUUGUGGUAUUGGUUUCUGAGCCCCAACACUAGGCAUUUAAAUUUUGUGUAUAUUUUGCCAAUACAGUGUUACAAAUAGCAUAUUGAACAUACUUUAUUAUGCAUUCGCAGUAUUAUAAUUGAGAUAAAACCCUGGAAAUAUAAUUGGUUGGGAUUAAAUAGCUUUUAUGUAGUGACGAUAAUUAUGAAACCAAUUACUACCACUUACUGAUCUUUGACAAUAACAGGCUAUAGUACACAUUACCUUGAUUCAAUUCCUGCUUUCAUCCUUAGUUCUGAGACUUUCAGGAAGUUACUUAACUACACACAGCCAGCCUCAUGUUCCUCAUCUCUAAAAUGGGAAAAUAAUAAUAUUUGCCUUAUAAGAUUAUUUGGUUUAAAUGAGUCGACACAUAUAAGGUAUUUGUGUCUGUUACACAGAAAACACUCAAUAAUUAGGAACAAUUUUUAUGUGGUGGUGAGCUUCCUUUUGCUCCUUUAGAUAUCUUCUCUAUCCUGCACCCUUCCACCUUCCCUUGAGGUUGAUCUACAAGAGCUAAAUCAAGUGGGCUCUGAUGUCCUCUGGCUUGAGGCUUGGUUGGAGACCAGAGGGAGAAAAGAGAGUGAGGCUGGAGUAUUUAUUUCCUUGGCUCCUUCAGCAAAAAGUCACUGUUCUUUUAAAGGCGAAUAACUGUGUCUGACUUUUUGUCUCCUGUUGGGUUAUAGCAACUCUCCCCUCACAUGUUUUAUUCCUUUUGUUUUCUCUGCCUCUGUUCUUUUGUAUAUAGCUUCCUAAAAAUCUCCUGGAAUUUUCCUAUUUUGCAUGCAUGCUCUGUUGUAAGUUGAGAUCCUGAUGGAUAAAUUUUAUUAGCUACAUUCUUUUUUUGUCUCCUGACCAAAACAGUGAGAGGUGGAUAUGAAGCCUCAUUUUAUUGAUGAGGGAACUGAAGCUUUGGAGUUUGCCGUAGGUCAGUCACCCAGCUGAUGAGUAGCCAAAGGGAAUUCAAGUUCUCUCUCUCAUUCAAAAGUACUUGCUCUUCCCAAAAACGUAUUCUUUCAAUCUAAAUUAUUUGGCCAGGUGUUUUUCCCUGAAGCAUACUUUAUAAUUUUAUUUUCUUCAAGGUUGUAUCUAGAGAAGCUUCUGAUCUAGUAUGUCCCAUGCAGCACUAAGAAACUUAGUUUUAACUUUGAGCCAUUAGGUCUCAGUUUCCUUAUCUGUAGACUGAAAUCAUGUGUUCUCUUCCUCCUGACGAAAAAAAAUAUAAGAACUGGUGCUCUAGACUUAAGAUAAUUUAAAAACCAGAGGUGUCUCAAUUUCAGUUUCAAUUUCAGUGAUCAUUUCUUUGUUGAAGAAAUAAAAAGAAGCUUUGGCAUAGAUGAAAGUGAAAUUCCCUCUAGGUUAGGCCAGAGCUAGUGUGAGGCAAGUAAGACAGAUGCCUAGGAUGUAAAAGUUAAAGAGGCACAAAAAACAACAACAAAGUAGCAUUCAAGAUAAAUACUAUUUUAAGGUGAUAUUUUAAAGCUCAAAAUUAAUGCAAAAUAUCAUGAUAUAACAUUUCAAAUAGAGACAGGAUUGUUAAUAGUGCUGUACAGGCUGAGACAAAGGAAAAGUACUGAUCCUUCCACUACUUAAAACUUUGGGCUGGGCGCGGUGGCUCACCUGUAAUCCCAGAACUUUGGGAGGCCGAGGUGGGCGGAUCA
rnacentral:lncRNA from 1 species